rnacentral:lncRNA from 1 species
AGCGCCGCAAUAAGCUCCGUUUCUCUAGCGGGGUUCGCGCGCGCUUAGCACUCUCGGGGGCUCAAAGGAGGUAGGCGACAGCUGCUGCCCACUCUCGUCCCCUCCAGGCCGCAGCUCUCUGGCUCACUGCCGCCCCAAUCCCCCUGCCCACAUCCUCGGUUUUUUUUUUUUUCUUUCUCCCAAACCCCAAACAGGAAAUAGCUUGAGUCACAAUAAUACACAGGAGCAGCGGCCGAGGCCACUCGCCCCCGCCCAUUCCCGGGGCCGCCUCCAGCACUCCAGCUCCGUGAGGCGCCGCCGGCGACGCGCUCCAGGAGCGCGGGGGACACCCACCCAGCAACCCGCGCCGGGUCAGAGGCACCCAAGCGCCCGCCAGAGCCGUCCUCGCCCUGCGCCCGACUCCACCGACUGCGGCCGCCACCGGCCUCCAGCCCGACGUUUGAACCUUCACCUCACCAGACCCGGAGGAACACACCACGGCCCCCUGGAUCGCAGCCCUUCCAUCCCAGGGUGGUAAGCUCCCUGAGGAAGACUUGGACCUGUGGCUAGCACACUGGCCUAGUUGCAUCAUCUCAGUUCCACACUCCUGAAGGUUUUGGACUGCACUUUACUCGGGGUUUGCUCAAUCUGACAUCAUCAAGAUGGCCUUUGGGUCUGCUUUUCUGUUCUCUUCUUCCGCAGUGUUGGUUUUUUCCUCCAUCUUGGGUGGUGAGAUGCGUGCUUGGUUUUGGAACAUUAGUCAGUUUCCUCCUGGAUCUUCUUGCCUGGUCAUCAGCCUUGUCUGCAUCCCCUGACUCCAACUUCUCACCCAGUUGUCUUCUCUAAGAAAAAACUGAUCUUGAGUGAGCGUCCCACCAGACACUUACUGUGAAUGCCCACACAAGCCCUACGGUGCUGGAGAUGUCUAGUCUUUCUCAGGAGCUCCUAGUAGCUACCCGGGAUUUAGCCUCUUCCUCUUGCAUUUUGAUGGAUUCAGCUUCCAGAGAACAGAUCAUCAUCACAGAAUCAGCAGUUGGCUCAUCUUGAACAUGGAGGAUUUUCUUUUCCCAGUUGGUUUGCUUUAAACAUACAAGACACAUCACAGGCCAGAUGUGUCUAGGCCAACUGCUACUUCUGGACUUUCAUCUUUUUUCAUCACAGGGGAAGACCUGCUGAGAGCUUUCCUUUUUUUUUUUCAAAUAAUGGAUUGAAUUAUAUCCCCCCCCCGACAUUCAUAUAUUGAAACCCUAACCCCCAGUACAUCAAAAUGUGACCUUAUUUGGAGAGAAGGUCUUCAUAGAAGUAAUCAAGAAAAAUUGGUCACUAGGGUGGGACCUAAUCUAGUAUCACUUGUGUCCUUCUAAGAAGAGGAAACUUGGAUGUAGACGCUUGCAGAGUGAGGAUGAUACAAAGACAUACAGAGAAGAUGCCAUCUCAAAGCCAAGUAGAGAGCCCUGCCUCAUGCCCCUCAGAAGGAACCAACCUUGUCAACACUUUGAUCUUGGACUUCUAGCCCCCAGAACUGUGAAAUAAUAAAACUGUUGUUUAAGGCACCAGUCUGUGGUACUUUGUUACGACAGCCCUCACAUACUAAUAAUAGUCAGAAUAAGAUAUUCUGCCUGAGGCUUCUAAUUCAUACACUUGGACAUGUGACCUUUGUGAACAGAAAUUUGCAUGUAUAAUCUGUGUUUACCUGUAACUUUCUGGUUAUACUGCUUAAGUCUGUGGAUUCAAGUUUUUGAAGUGAAUACCAAUUUAAAAAAAAAAAAAACACCUAAGGAAAAAAAAAAAAAGAGAGAAAUAAAAAAGAAACUCUACCUGGAACCAAGAGAAGUGUUAACAUAGCAGCUAUCCUGGCUUCACCAUCUCCCACAGAUGUCCUGGGAGAGCAAGACGGGGUCUCACGUUGUCAGAUUCUUCUGCCUUGAACUCUGAAGUGUCUCUUGGGUUCACCAAACAUACGGCUAUGGGGCAGGUCCUCCAGGGGGCCCCACACUGAGACUGCAGCCAGCUCGGCCACAGCACUAAACAGGGCUCUGCCUGGAACCAAGCCUGUGUCCGACACCCAGGCAAACCACCACUAGAGAGGGCUGGGGGCAGUCCUGGAUCAGCGUGGAACUCAGACCCCCUCCAUGCUGCCCAGGACUCCUUUCCUUUAAUUAAUCUUCCAUGGCCUGGAGGACCCACCCUAUCCUUUCCACAUGCUUAAACACAUAAGUUAAAUUCAUCGUGGUUCCUGUUUGGAUAGAUUAAGCAGAAACUAUUUGAGAAGGCAGAAAAAGGAGUACCUAGCCCAGUCUAGGGGGUUCAAUCAAGGAGAACUUUCUGGAAAAAAUGAAGACAUAACUAAUUAGCAGGGGAAAAAUAACACACUUCGGUGACUAUGCUGGACAUUAUAUGCACUAG